UACGAAGGGGACUAGCGUUGUUCGGAAUCACUGGGCGUAAAGCGCACGUAGGCGAAUGUGUCAGUCAGGGGUGAAAUCCCGGGGCUCAACCCCGGAACUGCCUUUGAUACUGGUAGUCUCGAGUCCGGAAGAGGUGAGUGGAAUUCCGAGUGUAGAGGUGAAAUUCGUAGAUAUUCGGAGGAACACCAGUGGCGAAGGCGGCACACUGGUCCGGUACUGACGCUGAGGUGCGAAAGCGUGGGAGCAACAGG
rnacentral:rRNA from 1 species